AGCAGCUGAAGCUGUGAGGAAGAGGAGGAAGAGGAGGAGCUGAUCUGUUCCUGAUCUCUAAGAGACUCAAACUUCCUCCUUCAGUUCAGUUCAACUCUCCAACAUUAACUCUGCUCAACAUGGACUAUUAUGGUCUGUCUCUGCUGGUCGCCUCUGUGCUAACAGGUGUGAACUGUAAAGACCUUGUUCCAGUUCAGAAGGAAGAGUCCGGUGUGGAGGGGAGAACUGUUUCUCUGUCCCACCCUAAAGACUCAUCUGGGACGUAUUUCUUCUGGUACCGACAGCAUCAGGGAAAAUCACCAGAGUUUCUCAUUUCUCACUCGCCUUCAGGAGAAGUAGGGAUUGAAGGAACCACUGGACUGAAGAUCCAAGUGGACAAAAAUGAAAUAAAGCUGCUGAUCUCCUCUGCUGCAGUGACAGACUCUGCUGUGUACUACUGCGCUCUGCAGCCCACAGUGACAGGAAACACCAGAACCCUGUACAAAAUCUGCUUGUCCGACCAACAGACAAGAAGAGCCUCGAUGCAGCAGUGGCUGGUGCAGCAGGUCAACGCCAGCAUCAACCACACCAGAGCCUGUAGAGGAAUAUAA